rnacentral:rRNA from 1 species
UAGGGAAUCUUCGGCAAUGGACGGAAGUCUGACCGAGCAACGCCGCGUGAGUGAAGAAGGUUUUCGGAUCGUAAAGCUCUGUUGUAAGAGAAGAACGAGUGUGAGAGUGGAAAGUUCACACUGUGACGGUAUCUUACCAGAAAGGGACGGCUAACUACGUGCCAGCAGCCGCGGUAAUACGUAGGUCCCGAGCGUUGUCCGGAUUUAUUGGGCGUAAAGCGAGCGCAGGCGGUUAGAUAAGUCUGAAGUUAAAGGCUGUGGCUUAACCAUAGUAGGCUUUGGAAACUGUUUAACUUGAGUGCAAGAGGGGAGAGUGGAAUUCCAUGUGUAGCGGUGAAAUGCGUAGGUAUAUGGAGGAACACCGGUGGCGAAAGCGGCUCUCUGGCUUGUAACUGACGCUGAGGCUCGAAAGCGUGGGGAGCAAACAGGAUUAGAUACCCUGGUAGUCCACGCUGUAAACGAUGAGUGCUAGGUGUUAGACCCUUUCCGGGGUUUAGUGCCGUAGCUAACGCAUUAAGCACUCCGCCUGGGGAGUACGACCGCAAGGUUG